UACGUAGGCAGCGAGCGUUGUUCGGAUUUACUGGGCGUAAAGAGCGUGCAGGCGGCCUGGAAGGUCAGCUGUGAAAACUCGAGGCUCAACCUCGAGACGUCGGUUGAAACCACUUGGCUAGAGUCCGGAAGAGGAGUGUGGAAUUCCCGGUGUAGCGGUGAAAUGCGCAGAUAUCGGGAAGAACACCCGUGGCGAAGGCGGCACUCUGGGACGGUACUGACGCUGAGACGCGAAAGCGUGGGGAGCGAACAGG
rnacentral:rRNA from 1 species